UACAGAGGUCUCAAGCGUUUGUUCGGAUUCAUUGGGCGUAAAGGGUGCGUAGGUGGGUAGGAAAGUCAGUGGUGAAAUCUUCGGGCUUAACCCGGAAACUGCCAUUGAUACUAUUUAUCUUGAAUACUUUGGAGGUAAGCGGAAUAUGUCAUGUAGCGGUGAAAUGCUUAGAUAUGACAUAGAACACCAAUUGCGAAGGCAGCUUACUACACAGUUAUUGACACUGAGGCACGAAAGCGUGGGGAUCAAACAGG
rnacentral:rRNA from 1 species